UACGUAGGUGACAAGCGUUGUCCGGAUUUACUGGGCGUAAAGAGCGCGCAGGCGGUCGUUCAAGUCGAGUGUGAAAGCCCCCGGCUCAACUGGGGAGGGUCAUUCGAUACUGAUCGACUCGAAGGCAGGAGAGGGAAGUGGAAUUCCCGGUGUAGUGGUGAAAAUGCGUAGAUAUCGGGAGGAACACCAGUGGCGAAGGCGACUUCCUGGCCUGUUCUUGACGCUGAGGCGCGAAAGCUAGGGUAGCAAACGGG
rnacentral:rRNA from 1 species